AAACUGUUUUCUGUUUGUGGUAGACUGGGCAAGAAGGAACGGGAUUAAUUAUGUUGCUGGAAGAGAGAUUUUGAUGAGAUUUUAAGGCAGUGAAGUGCCUGGGAGUGCGCAGUGCCUCUAGCAUUGCAAAGCUCCAAGGAUGGGCGGAGAAGCGUUGGUAAGAUUCCCAGGGCUUCUCAAGCAUUCUGCUGUGAGUACAGUGACUGUGGUUUUAGCUCCAGUGCGACUCAUGUGCUUGCUCUAGAUGUCUGAGUCCGGUAGAGAGUCAUCUCCAAAUCAUGUCCUGGCUACAGCGGGGUCUCCCUGACAGAGCCAUGAUCUCUGCUGGAGCCAUGUGUGGGCUGCUCUGCUCCCUCCUGCCUGCACUGUCACACGACAGGAAAUUUACUGCUGGAAUGUCACUGAGAUGCAUAAACAUGGCAGCGGGAGCCAACUACCCGCUCCUGCCGCCGAGGCGGCCGCUUCCUGCAGACUGGCCCUAGCUCCGCGAGGGAGGAGGUGGUAUGUCGCUCCAUGCCGCUGCCAACAGAUUUAUGGAGAAGUAUAACCUUGGCUGCUGCUUUUCUUCCUUAGUUUUCUUUUUUUAACCUGACUGCAGUGUGUCCGGACCGAUCUAGGGCUGCGAUUCCCAAUUCAUCUGCUGCAACACGGCUGUCCGACCAAGCGCGUGUUUAAUUAAGGCCCAUCAAAUCCAAUUUAAAUAGGUUGAUCUAAAGGCUGGGUAGUCUAGCCUGCAGACAUGAGGCCCGCAAGCCAUGUGUGGUAGGGAUGACUCUGUAUGUUUUCAGGCUAAAUUAUAACCACAUUACAUGCCACAUAGCUCUUAAACACUCAAACUUGACUUGGUUUCAGUAAGUUGGAACAGAAUGAAUAGACCACAUCUUUGGGGAGUGUGGGCCAGCCAAUGGCUUAAGAAACAAAACAAUAAAGAAAAACAAAACAUGGGCUAAGAGCUCUAA
rnacentral:lncRNA from 1 species